AUUGAACGCUGGCGGCAGGCUUAACACAUGCAAGUCGAGCGGAGAUGAGGUGCUUGCACCUUAUCUUAGCGGCGGACGGGUGAGUAAUGCUUAGGAAUCUGCCUAUUAGUGGGGGACUACAUUCCGAAAGGAAUGCUAAUACCGCAUACGUCCUACGGGAGAAAGCAGGGGAUCUUCGGACCUUGCGCUAAUAGAUGAGCCUAAGUCGGAUUAGCUAGUUGGUGGGGUAAAGGCCUACCAAGGCGACGAUCUGUAGCGGGUCGGAGAGGAUGAUCCGCCACACUGGGACUGAGACACGGCCCAGACUCCUACAGGAGGCAGCAGUGGGGAAUAUUGGACAAUGGGGGGAACCCUGAUCCAGCCAUGCCGCGUGUGUGAAGAAGGCCUUAUGGUUGUAAAGCACUUUAAGCGAGGAGGAGGCUACUGAGACUAAUACUCUUGGAUAGUGGACGUUACUCGCAGAAUAAGCACCGGCUAACUCUGUGCCAGCCGCCGCCGUAACAC
rnacentral:rRNA from 1 species